UAGCAGCGGGCCUUGGGCAAGUAAAUAAAAAGGCAACAAUCCAACAUGCAACUUGGGAAGUCCAGCCUUCUCAGACAACAGCAACACGUUAGCAGCAUGAGUGUGCUUGGAGAAAAAUGAUGUUGAACCCAUCUUGGGCUUGAAGUAGGGGUGCGUCUAGCUUAAGGAAUUGCACGCACCGGCUUGAGAAGCUACAUGAAGACACAUCCAACUUUGGCCCACGAUCCAGCAACGGGAAAUAUAACAAAGUGCAGCACAUGCAUUGAUUCCUGAAGCAAGAGGUGUCACGACAUCUCAUUUCAUUUAUUAGGCUGGAGCUGCC
rnacentral:lncRNA from 1 species